GAAAUGCGAUAAGUAAUGUGAAUUGCAGAAUUCAGUGAAUCAUCGAAUCUUUGAACGCACAUUGCGCCCGUCAGCAUUCUGGCGGGCAUACCUGUUCGAGCGUCAUUUCAACCCUCAGGACCCCCCUUUCGCGGGGAGGGACCUGGCGUUGGGGAUCGGCCCGCCCCCGCGGCGGCGCCGUCCCCGAAAUCUAGUGGCGGUCUCGCUGCAGCCUCCCCUGCGUAGUAGUUACAACCUCGCAUCGGAGCGCGGCGCGGCCACGCCGUAAAACCCCCGACUUUCUGAACGUUGACCUCGGAUCAGGUAGGAAUACCCGCUGAACUUAAGC
rnacentral:misc_RNA from 1 species